rnacentral:lncRNA from 1 species
CGUCAGUCCCCCAUCCUACCUGCUUUUGCUACAGAGCGGUCUGAGUGACUGCUGGGGACAAGGACUGCAAUGUUUGCUUCUUCCCUCCUCCCCCUUCCUCUUUCAGUUCUUUGGGUUCCUAGGAAUGUCAAGGGAGCUGUUUUGGAGAGAGAGGAAAAAAAGGUGGCUCAAGGGGACACAUGCCCUGUGACAGCAUUUUUUUUUUCAGGGCUCAAAGAAGAUCUGGAGUUGGGGCUUCCCAGAAGUAUCAAAGCCUUCAUGAAGAGAGGUCUCAGGACUAUCUUUGGCUGUCGGUGUCACUGGUGUCUAGUGUGCAGAGGCCAGUUGUGUUCCUACACAUCCAAACUCACACAAGAAAGGUCUUAAAAGGAUCCACCAACCUCUGCUGUCCAUAGAUCCUGCAGCAGAGGUCAGAGGAAAUCUUCAGAGGGGGAGCCAGAGAAACAUCUCUAAAAAGAAGGAGUGUGUUUUUUUUCUGUCUAAGGAGCUUUUCUGGAUUCGGUGGAGGACUAUUGUCCCCUGACUGUCACGUAGCAUGCAGUAUGUAGCAUGGUACCUGUCAUCUUUCACACAGGACAAGGCACAUGAAAGUGCCUGGUAGGGACAGUGAAGAAUCUUGGAGUCAGGAUUAUGCCUUGCCUCCCAUGCAUGGUCACAGCUCCGUUCACUGGGUUCUGACUAUUACCAUGUGAACACUCCUGUCACCAUUGGACGGCUUCAGCCCUGGCCUUGCCCUCUUACCUCUCAUGGCCUUGUUUCUCUGUCCCCCCUGGGCUGCCUGGGAAUUCCCAGUUCUGGUGACCUUCGAUGCCUUUUCUCUGAACACGCCCCAACUUAUUGUCAAUCUCAUAAAAAGCAAAACUUGGUAGAGAGAAGAUUGAGUUUGCCUCUCACAGUAGAAUUUGAUUUAGGGCCAAGAAGGUGACAAUUGCUGCAAAGUGGAGAUCGGCUAUUUUGGGAGUGCUGUGAAUGAUUUUUUUCCAUCUCCCAAUGACCUUACAUACAUUCUGUCUCCUGCCGGCCUCCUGGUGGGAUUGAUGGGGCCGCUAGGUGAGCCAGGCUCUGCUAGGCUCCUGCUGCUCUUAAUAAAUCUGCCUGAUGGA